rnacentral:tRNA from 36 species
GCGGGUGUAACUCAGUGGUAGAGUGUCACCUUGCCAAGGUGAAAGUCGCGAGUUCGAAUCUCGUCACCCGCUCCA